AAUGAACGCUGGCGGCGUGCCUUACACAUGCAAGUCGAGCGAGGCGGCCCGCAAGGGUCAGUCGAGCGGCGGACGGGUGAGUAACGCGUGGAUAACCUGCCCAGAGGUGGGGGGAUAACCCGGGGAAACUCGGGCUAAUACCGCAUAAUACCGAGAGGUCAAAGGGGGCUCGCAAGAGCUCUCGCCAUUGGAGGGGUCCGCGUCCGAUUAGCUAGUUGGUAGGGUAAUGGCCUACCAAGGCGACGAUCGGUAGCCGGCCUGAGAGGGUGAUCGGCCACACUGGAACUGAGACACGGUCCAGACUCCUACGGGAGGCAGCAGUCGGGAAUUUUGGGCAAUGGGCGCAAGCCUGACCCAGCAACGCCGCGUGAAGGAUGAAAUCCUCGGAUGUAAACUUCGCAAGAACAGGAAGAAUAAGUGGGGACAAUACCCCCCAUGAUGACGUACUGUUUGUAAGCUCCGGCUAACUCCGUGCCAGCCGCCGCUGUAAG
rnacentral:rRNA from 1 species